rnacentral:rRNA from 1 species
CACAAGCGGUGGAGCAUGUGGUUUAAUUCGAUGAUACGCGAGGAACCUUACCUGGGCUCAAAUGUAUGUUGACGUAUUCUGAAAGGGAUACUUCUCGGACAAUAUACAAGGUGCUGCAUGGUUGUCGUCAGCUCGUGCCGUGAGGUGUCGGGUUAAGUCCCAUAACGAGCGCAACCCCUAUCAUUAGUUGCCAUCAGGUCAAGCUGGGGACUCUAAUGAAACUGCCUACGCAAGUAGUGAGGAAGGUGGGGAUGACGUCAAAUCAGCACGGCCCUUACGUCCAGGGCUACACACGUGCUACAAUGGCCGAUACAGAGGGCAGCUACCUGGUGACAGGAUGCAAAUCUCCAAAGUCGGUCUCAGUUCGGAUCGGAGUCUGCAACCCGACUCCGUGAAGUUGGAAUCGCUAGUAAUCGUGGAUCAGCAUGCCACGGUGAAUACGUUCCCGGGCCUU